rnacentral:rRNA from 1 species
UACAGGGGGUGCAAACGUUGCUCGGAAUCAUUGGGCGUAAAGCGCACGUAGGCGGUUCGUUAUGUCGGAUGUGAAAGCCCGUGGCUUAACCGAGGAAGUGCAUCCGAAACUGGCGAGCUAGAGUACGAAAGAGGAUCGCGGAAUUCCCGGUGUAGAGGUGAAAUUCGUAGAUAUCGGGAGGAACACCGGUGGCGAAGGCGGCGAUCUGGGUCGAUACUGACGCUGAGGUGCGAAAGCGUGGGGAGCAAACAGG